UGUAAUAAAAUGCCCUGAGACUGGGGACACGGUCAGAAGCUAGAGUUUGCAGCACUUCAUGGCUUUUUCUGUGAGCAAUGAACAGCUGAUUCAACUGAGGGAAUGACAUGUUCUGAUACAGGUUUUUGGAGUCAUCACUGGCUGGUGUGCAGAGAAUGGAUUGUGAGGGUUAUCAGCAGAAGCAGUGAAGCUCGUUAGGGGACUGUUAUACCAGUUCAGCGGAGGCAUAAUAGUGACUUAGGUUAGAGGUGGAGAGGAGAGUUUGGGUGCUAGAUGACGACGGAAGAAUUGGCAAGCGUUUGUGACGGAUUUGAAGUGGGAGAGGGGAACGGGAGGAACCAAGGAUGACUGGAAUAUUCAACUGCUUGGGCGUGGGCCCAAAAAAGGCAGAGAAGUUGGUUCACUGACCGCUGAGGUUUUUCUAGAGGAAGAAACCCAGCCCAGAGUGGAGAAGCGACUUGUCCCAAACCACAGUUUUUAUAGCCUGAGUCAAGACUGAACCCGUCUUCAGAGUUCCUUGUCUAGAAUUCUCUUUGCUACAUGACGCUGCCCAACUACACUGUAUUAACCUGCAGGAAGCUGAAUGCCACCAACAGCCAUGUGAGCUUGGAAGCAGUUCCUUCCCCGGGCAGAACUCAGAUGAGACUGCAGCCCCAGUUGACACCGUGAUGGCAGCUUCACGAGACGCUGAGUCAGAGGAUCCGUAAGCCUCUGUGAGUGCACACUGCCAUGCCCUGUUUACCAGUAUCCGCCACAUAAAUGGGGCUUUCCAGGUGGCUCAGUGGUAAAGAAUCUGCCAGCUAAGCAGAAUACUCAGGUUCGAUCCCUGGGUUGAGAAGAUCCCCUGGAGAAGGAAAUGGAACCCACUCCAUUAUUCUUGCCUGGGAAAUCGCAAGGGUAGAGGCGCCUGGUGGAAUACAAUCUAUGGGGUCACAGAGAGUUGGACAUGACUUAGCAACUAAAGCAACAACAACCAUCUAAAAAGGUGAGUUCUUUGUGGGCAGCAGCCGUAUCUUCUUCAUGGCAGUAGUUCCUGUGAAAUAGCUUCACGAUGCUGUAUGGUUGGUUUGCCCUCGGUUCUUGUUCAGUGAAUGAUUAAAUGAGUGUAAGCAUGGCAAAAGGGAGAUGCAUUCAUUUAGACCUUUUGGACCUUCUCAGAGCUCAUCAGCUGGGCUGUGCCCAUCAUUUCUACUUACAGCUCCUACCAGCUUCCCUGAAGACCCGGUAAGUGUCCUCAUUUGGAUUUUUGAGGGCAAUCCCAGUUGUCCCCAUAAGAUAGCACGUCCCCAAGGAGGGAUGGAGAGGUUGAAGAGAGUCAGCUCUCCAUCGCGGGAAAUCAAUGAAGGGAGCUGAGCCACUCCUGCCCGAUUUCAACAGAACCCUCUGUUGUACAGCGAACAGUGGAGAAAUUGUUCAUCCACAUCUCAUUGCUCAUGGAAAUAUUCUGACUGCAAAGUCAGCAUCGGCUUUGAUUUCCUGCCCUGGGAGGAGGCCGGGU